GUGACGAAGCGACGCCGCGUGCGGGAGGAAGGCCUUCGGGUUGUAAACCGCUGUCGGGAGUUAAGAAAUGCAAGAAUGUUAAUAGCGUUCUUGCUUGACUAAGGCUCCGGAGGAAGCCACGGCUAACUCUGUGCCAGCAGCCGCGGUAAUACAGAGGCGGCAAGCGCUGUUCGGAAUUAUUGGGCGUAAAGAGCACGUAGGCGGCUGUGUAAGUCGGUUGUGAAAGCCUUCCGCUCAACGGAAGAACGGCAUCCGAUACUGCAUAGCUUGAGUGCGGGAGGGGAGAGUGGAACUUCUGGUGGAGCGGUGAAAUGCGUAGAUAUCAGAAGGAACACCGGCGGCGAAGGCGACUCUCUGGUCCAUAACUGACGCUGAGUGUGCGAAAGCUAGGGGAGCAGACGGGAUUAGAUACCCCGGUAGUCCUAGCCGUAAACGAU
rnacentral:rRNA from 1 species